AUUUUUUGAAUGUUCUAGAAACAGCACCUCCGUUUUCUUUGAUCAAAACUCUGAUAUCUCUCUUCUUUUGAUUUUGGGGAGUCCUGGGAAUGUUUUGGUCAGGUUGAGAUUGACACUUGAUGUCAUCUGUUCAGUUUUAUGUUGUUUGUUAGUGACAGCAGUAUCAUUGGAGGUGAUUUGAUACAACACAGGACAAAAAUGCACAUGAAAGUUCAUUCUGUUACUGUGUGUGUGUGUAACUGAGACUUUCCCUCGGUCACUGGCCUCUCAGAUUUCCAGAUUGGUUUCUGUGUGUUGGACCAUCAGCCAAAUUUCACCUGAUGCUCGUCCUCUUUUCUGCUCAUGACGUCAGUCACUAAUUGAUUUCCAAUCACUAACAAAAACUUGUACUAUGAAAGUUUUAAAAAUCUAUUUUAGGCAAGAAACCACCACAAACUAGCUGCUCUUCUCCAAAAUUAAGAAAACAAAUGCUGAACAGGCUUUUUUUUUGCUGGAUUUUUAAAUGACCUUGUUAGAAAAUAAAGCUCAAAUAGGUUUCAGAUGGAAGCUGCAUGAUUUGCAUGGUUUGUUGCAUGUCUGGACUGGUCAUUAAUGUUAAAAAUCAAAUGGUCUACAAAGCAUUUGGAUCUGACUGAUCUAGAUCGAGAUGAUUAGAGCUUGGAGACCUUGGACCAGAUAAAAUAGGCUACAGCAUCAACAUCUUCAAGGGAAAGCUGUGGUCUUGCACGACAAGCCGCGCAUCUGCGAUCACCCCAGAGACCCGAGCAAGAGUUCACAGAUGAAGAUGCUGCAGAGAACCUUCAGUGCCUCCAGCUCAUCGGCGGGAGAACGGAUCCGUUCGCACCGGUGUGUGUUUGGACUUGACGGGGCUGUGAACGGAACCGAGCCGCGGGAGACUCCAGUGCGCGAGAGCUCGAGGAGAGAAACGCUGUCCAUCUGCCCCGCGUCAUCCAGAGGUAA
rnacentral:lncRNA from 1 species